CCUACGGGAGGCAGCAGUGAGGAAUAUUGGUCAAUGGCCGGAAGGCUGAACCAGCCAUGCCGCGUGAAGGUCAGUGCCCUAUGGGCGUUAAACUUCUUUUGUGCGGGAGCAAUAAUGGUCACGUGUGGCCAGACGAGAGUACCGUACGAAUAAGCAUCGGCUAACUGCGUGCCAGCAGCCGCGGUAAUACGGGGGAUGCAAGCGUUAUCCGGAUUUAUUGGGGUUAAAGGGUGCGUAGGCUGUGAGGUAAGUCAGCGGUGAAAUGCCCCCGCUCAACGGGGUGAAGUGCCAUUGAUACUGCCUUGCUGGAAUGCGGAUGCCGUGGGAGGAAUGUGUGGUGUAGCGGUGAAAUGCAUAGAUAUCACACAGAACACCGAUUGCGAAGGCAUCUCACGAAUCCGCGAUUGACGCUGAUGCACGAAAGCGUGGGUAUCAAACAGGAUUAGAUACCCCUGUAGUC
rnacentral:rRNA from 1 species